rnacentral:tRNA from 3 species
GCUGGCGUAGCUCAAUGGCAGAGCACCGGUUUUGUAAACCGGGGGUUGUGGGUUCAACUCCCAUCGCCAGCC